rnacentral:rRNA from 1 species
AGUCUAACAUGUGCGCGAGUCAUGGGGUCAGUACGAAACCCAAAGGCGCAAUGAAAGUGAAGGUCUCCUCCGGAGUACCCAGGCAGGAUCCCGGGGCGUUCCAGCUCCGGGCGCACUGCCGGCCCGUCUCGGCGGCAUUGUCCGCGAGGCGGAGCAAGAGCGCACACGUUGGGACCCGAAAGAUGGUGAACUAUGUCUGAGUAGGGCGAAGUCAGAGGAAACUCUGAUGGAGGCCCGCAGCGAUUCUGACGUGCAAAUCGAUCGUCAAACUUGGAUAUAGGGGCGAAAGACUAAUCGAACCAUCUAGUAGCUGGUUCCCUC